CCACCUUGUCUUAGACUGCAUGCAUCGCUG
rnacentral:sRNA from 1 species